rnacentral:misc_RNA from 1 species
CCCCGCUCUCGUCUCCCUUUGUUUCUGGGGCUUUCACGAGCGGCACUCGCAGCGGCGCAGACCACUGCAAACGCGACGAGAAAGAGCAACCGAAAAACCAACACAACCCAACAAUUGUGUUCAACAAGGACCGCUAAAGAAGGACCUCAUAUCAGAGAUCGGACACUCAGGAGCCGCCUUACUCAUUCUUUAUCUUUUCAAGUGCAGCCUUUUGACUCUGUGCAGAGCAGAGCUAGCUUUUCAAGUUAGCCCCGCAUUGGCUUCCCAAACGAGUCAUCAUGACUGGUAAGUGCACUCACGUGACCCUGGGCAAUGGGGUGCAGGUGCCACAGCUCGGCAUCGGCACGUGGGAGGCGAAGAAUGGCAACGAAGUCGUGCAGAACAUCAAGUGGGCUAUCAACGCUGGCUACCGUCAUAUUGACACUGCGCACUACUACAAGAACGAGAAAGGCGUUGGCCAGGGCAUUAGCGAAUGUGGCGUGCCGCGCUCGGAUAUCUUCGUCACGACGAAGCUAUGGAACUACGACCACGGCUACGAAAGUGCCCUCGCCGCCUUCGAGCAGAGUCGCCAGGCGCUUGGGGUGGAGUACGUGGAUCUGUACCUAAUCCACUGGCCGGGCCCAAAUCGCUCGUAUAUCGAGACGUGGCGUGCCUUCGAGAAGCUGUAUGAGAUGAAGAAGGUGCGCGCGAUUGGCGUGUCCAACUUUGAGCCGCACCACCUUGAUGACCUGCUGGCGAACUGCACGGUGCCACCGAUGGUGAACCAGGUAGAGAUGCACCCUCACUUCCAGCAGAAGGCGCUCCGCGCGUACUGCGCUGAAAAGAACAUUGCCGUGACGGCAUGGCGCCCUCUUGGCAAGGGUGCCCUGCUGACAGAGCCUCAGCUCGUGGAGCUGGCGGAAAAGCACAAGAGGUCUGCAGCUCAGGUCAUCAUUCGCUGGCUCAUCCAACUCGGCGUCAUUGCCAUCCCCAAGUCCAGCCACGAGGAGCGCAUCAAACAGAACUUCGACGUUUUUGAUUUUGAGCUUUCACCGGAGGACAUGCGGAGACUCGAGUCUAUGGACAAGAAUUCGCGUAUCGGGCCUAGCCCCGAGACCUUCUUCCCAACCGAGUGCAAGUAAAGGGGAGGGGCCGUCGAUACUCUUUCCCCUGGCUCGCGUCCUCGCUGUUGGCGUGGCCGGCUUAGAUGAGUGUGCAGGUGAAGCUGUGCGUGUGUGUUUGUUUGAGGUGGACUACGCGCCUUCAUCGCACGCAAAUCGAGAGGUCGUUUUCUUCGUUCCCUCUCCUUUUUUUCUUUCUGCUGUCCGCUUUCGAAGUUCCCUCUGUGCUGCCCCUACUUUGCCAACCCGCAGCGCCUACUGAUCUGAAAUGGCGAUGAGCGGGUGGGUGGGUGGGGAGCGAGCAAGCAGAAAAACUCGGGAGACCGGCGCCAGUGUCGGCGUCGGAACGCUCGUCUUUUGUCUUGCCCUGCUCCGCGCUCUUUUGAAAUACAGAAGGCGUAGAAGACACGCCUCUGCGCCUUUUUGUCUUCAAGUGUACGCACACACAGUGGGCUCUGGAGAUGAACUGCUUUGGCGGCAGCGGCAACG